rnacentral:sRNA from 1 species
GGAUCUGCCCUCGAAUCUGCUCAAGUGAAUGUUCUGCUUAAUUUUUUUUAAGAAUUAAAUUAAAAAAUGUGCACAAACCCUCUCUCUCUCACUCUCUCACUCUCAUUCUUUGCAUGGAUUUGCGUGUUUAGCUCCAUGAAUACUUAACUG